rnacentral:rRNA from 1 species
CCUACGGGAGGCAGCAGUGGGGAAUCUUCCGCAAUGGGCGAAAGCCUGACGGAGCAACGCCGCGUGAUCGAAUGAAGGCCUUCGGGUUGUAAAGAUCUUUUGUCAAGGACGAAAAAGCGACGCGAGUACCUUUUUGUAUGACGGUACCUGUUUAGAAAGGUCCGGCUAACUACGUGCCAGCAGCCGCGGUAGUACGUAGGGAGCAAUCGUUGUCCGGAAUUACUGGGCGUAAAGGGCGCGUAGGUGGGCGCGUAAGUCAGGCGUGAAAACUCCGGGAUCAACCCGGAGAGUGCACUUGAAACUGGGUGUCUUGAGGGGAGGAGAGGAAAGUGGAAUUCCUAGUGUAGCGGUGAAAUGCGUAGAUAUUAGGAGGAACACCAGUGGCGAAGGCGACUUUCUGGACUGUACCUGACGCUGAGGCGCGAAAGCGUGGGUAGCGAACGGGAUUAGAUACCCGAGUAGUC